rnacentral:lncRNA from 1 species
GCGAUGCUAAGAAAUGUUGUUUAAAAUGGUUUUGUUCGUGAGGAAGAUGAUGACCAGUAACUGAUUCUUAAGGAAAGAGUUAGGUGAUAUUAACAUUUAAUUAACAGUCCAGAUCUACAAAUAUAUGUAAGUUAGGAGGGUUAAAAGUUAGGAAAUGGGGUAAGUAUUAGAACAAUAAAAAUCUGCAAGAGAUAACGUAGGUAGUGGGCUAUUGUUGAGCAGAGAAUGAAUUAAAUUGUUUUAAACAAUAUGUGAUGCGUAUUUGUUCAUGCAAAGCUGAAAAUACCGGAGGAGCAUCAACUAGCAGAGACAAAGGCAAGAAAAAGGUCACAUAAUCGACAUUGUGGUGAACAAGGUGAGUACACUAUAUACUACACUUGAAAACGAGGUCGCGCUCUAUUGAAAGCAAGAAAGACGUGGAAACCUUAUCUUCAUGUUGUGAAUAGAACAUGUGCAUGUGCGAACCUCUUCCAUGCAUUGUGCA